UACGGGGGGGGGCAAGCGUUGUUCGGAAUUACUGGGCGUAAAGGGCUCGUAGGCGGCCAACUAAGUCGGAUGUGAAAUCCCCAGGCUCAACCUGGGAACUGCAUCCGAUACUGGAUGGCUUGAAUUCGGGAGAGGGAUGCAGAAUUCCAGGUGUAGCGGUGAAAUGCGUAGAUAUCUGGAGGAAUACCGGUGGCGAAGGCGGCAUCCUGGGACCGACAUUGACGCUGAUGAGCGAAAGCUAGGGGAGCAAACGGG
rnacentral:rRNA from 1 species